GUGCUCACUGCAGCAGGGCAUAUGCUAAAAUUGGAGCCAUUCAGAGACAAUUUGCAUGGCCCCUACACAAAGAUGACUCACAAAUUCAUGAAGUGUUCCAUGUUUUU
rnacentral:snRNA from 1 species